UUAACCAAAAACCAAGUAAUGAUUUUAUUUAAUGGUUAGACAAAACCCAAUACCAAACCAACCCACCCAAUAAAGCUGCCCAAGCAAAAAAAAUUAUUGAGCUUUCGAAUUUUCCCUUAAUGUCUAAGUCUUGCCCGUUUAUUUGGUCUGUUUCCUUUGUAUCUUCUUCUCUGUCAAACUCUGGAAAUGGCGGAACAAUAUCUUCUUCUCCAUCCAAAUAUCAAACCCUACCUCAAUCAUCUUUCAACCACCCAGAGCCACCAAGAUGCUCAAACCGCAAACAAACCUUCACCAAAUUUGCAAACCCCCUCCCCACAAACUUAAGUUGGAGCAUCUCUAUCCCUUUCUUUGAUAUCGCAAAGGCUAUGGCUUUAGAUUGGAUGAAUAAACAAAUGGCGGAGAUCUCGAGGUUUGCGGAUUCAUGAAUGAUAAGGCUGUUUGACUCCAACAUGCUCAUCAGCAACACUACGACAGUGAUAUGCUUAGAUGAUUAGCAUUCCCCAGACGUGACAUGGAGGAAGAAGAAAGGAGUGACAAUGCUUGACCCAAGAGCUAACGACUUCGAUCUUAUGUAUAAGCAGAUGAAGGCAAUCAAGGAAGGGAAGGCUGUUGAGAACCCUAUUUACAAGAAUGUUUCUGGUCGCUUGGAUCCUCCUGAGCUCAUCAAGUUCCCCCAAGAUUCUUGUCAUUGAAGGUUUACAUCCAAUCUGCAUGCUGCAAUCAUUGAACUGGAUACCAAGAUCAAGAAUGAUAACUCAUUAACCAAAAAAUGAUGAAGAUUAUAACUCUAGUUGGCCACUUGCGUUGCAUAUAAUCCCUUUAAAGAUGUAGUACGUACAUUUAUGUACUAAACCGAAAUCAACUGGAUGCAAACCAUGUUUCGGUGCCUCUUUUUUGACUUCUUAGUGUCUCUUGGGUUAUGAUUUUGAUAAAGACUCUGUAAGUUUACAUUCAUUAUGUUGUUCGUAAUCAUAGGUAUACUAGGCUAAAUUGGUAGGUUCUUAAUGUUCUGGAUGUGAAAAUUUUUGUUUCUGGGUAUUUGAAGUUUUUCAUUCCAGUCGGGCGUUAUGAGAGCAAAAAAGAAGUUGCCUAAGAGAGAGGAGGUUCUUCGGCGUAUCAAGCAGGUGCCUUUUUUGAAGGGAUGAGAAGCAUGUAUAUAUAUAAUAACAUAUGCAAAUAAAAUUGCAAUUUGAACUGCUAAGGUUUAGCCUUCAAUCAAAAUUACAGAUGUGGUGCAUCCAAGUUUCAGAAAUAGUGUUUUC